rnacentral:rRNA from 1 species
GGGUUGUGAGGUUAAGCGACUAAGCGUACACGGUGGAUGCCUAGGCAGUCAGAGGCGAUGAAGGGCGUGCUAAUCUGCGAAAAGCGUCGGUAAGGUGAUAUGAACCGUUACAACCGACGAUACCCGAAUGGGGAAACCCAGUGCAAUUCGUUGCACUAUUGCAUGGUGAAUACAUAGCCAUGCAAGGCGAACCGGGGGAACUGAAACAUCUAAGUACCCCGAGGAAAAGAAAUCAACCGAGAUUCCCCCAGUAGCGGCGAGCGAACGGGGGAGGAGCCCAGAGUCUGAAUCAGUUUGUGUGUUAGUGGAAGCGUCUGGAAAGUCGCAGGGUACAGGGUGAUACUCCCGUACACAAAAACACACUUGCUGUGAACUCGAUGAGUAGGGCGGGACACGUGACAUCCUGUCUGAAUAUGGGGGGGACCAUCCUCCAAGGCUAAAUACUCCUGACUGACCGAUAGUGAACCAGUACCGUGAGGGAAAGGCGAAAAGAACCCCGGCGAGGGGGAGUGAAAUAGAACCUGAAACCGUGUACGUACAAGCAGUGGGAGCACCUUCGUGGUGUGACUGCGUACCUUUUGUAUAAUGGGUCAGCGACUUAUAUUUUGUAGCAAGGUUAACCGAAUAGGGGGAGCCGUAGGGAAACCGAGUCUUAACUGGGCGUCUAGUUGCAAGGUAUAGACCCGAAACCCGGUGAUCUAGCCAUGGGCAGGUUGAAGGUUGGGUAACACUAACUGGAGGACCGAACCGACUAAUGUUGAAAAAUUAGCGGAUGACUUGUGGCUGGGGGUGAAAGGCCAAUCAAACCGGGAGAUAGCUGGUUCUCCCCGAAAGCUAUUUAGGUAGCGCCUCGUGAACUCAUCUUCGGGGGUAGAGCACUGUUUCGGCUAGGGGGUCAUCCCGACUUACCAAACCGAUGCAAACUCCGAAUACCGAAGAAUGUUAUCACGGGAGACACACGGCGGGUGCUAACGUCCGUCGUGAAGAGGGAAACAACCCAGACCGCCAGCUAAGGUCCCAAAGUCAUGGUUAAGUGGGAAACGAUGUGGGAAGGCAUAGACAGCCAGGAUGUUGGCUUAGAAGCAGCCAUCAUUUAAAGAAAGCGUAAUAGCUCACUGGUCGAGUCGGCCUGCGCGGAAGAUGUAACGGGGCUAAACCAUGCACCGAAGCUGCGGCAGCGACACUUAGGUGUUGUUGGGUAGGGGAGCGUUCUGUAAGCCGUUGAAGGUGACCUGUGAGGGUUGCUGGAGGUAUCAGAAGUGCGAAUGCUGACAUAAGUAACGAUAAUGCGGGUGAAAAGCCCGCACGCCGGAAGACCAAGGGUUCCUGUCCAACGUUAAUCGGGGCAGGGUGAGUCGACCCCUAAGGCGAGGCUGAAAAGCGUAGUCGAUGGGAAACAGGUUAAUAUUCCUGUACUUGGUGUUACUGCGAAGGGGGGGGACGGAGAAGGCUAGGCUAGCCGGGCGACGGUUGUCCCGGUUUAAGCAUGUAGGCGGAGUGACUUGGUAAAUCCGGUUGCUUAUCAACGCUGAGGUGUGAUGACGAGCCACUACGGUGGUGAAGUAGUUGAUGCCAAGCUUCCAGGAAAAGCCUCUAAGCAUCAGGUAACAUUAAAUCGUACCCCAAACCGACACAGGUGGUCAGGUAGAGAAUACUCAGGCGCUUGAGAGAACUCGGGUGAAGGAACUAGGCAAAAUGGUGCCGUAACUUCGGGAGAAGGCACGCUGGCAUUAGGUAAAGAGACUUGCUCUCGGCGCCGAAGCCAGUCGCAGAUACCAGCUGGCUGCAACUGUUUAAUAAAAACACAGCACUGUGCAAACACGAAAGUGGACGUAUACGGUGUGACGCCUGCCCGGUGCUGGAAGGUUAAUUGAUGGGGUCAGCCGCAAGGCGAAGCUCUUGAUCGAAGCCCCAGUAAACGGCGGCCGUAACUAUAACGGUCCUAAGGUAGCGAAAUUCCUUGUCGGGUAAGUUCCGACCUGCACGAAUGGCGUAAUGAUGGCCAGGCUGUCUCCACCCGAGACUCAGUGAAAUUGAACUCGCUGUGAAGAUGCAGUGUACCCGCGGCAAGACGGAAAGACCCCGUGAACCUUUACUAUAGCUUGACACUGAACAUUGAGCCUUGAUGUGUAGGAUAGGUGGGAGGCAUCGAAGCGUGGACGCCAGUCUGCGUGGAGCCAACCUUGAAAUACCACCCUUUAAUGUUUGAUGUUCUAACUCGGCCCCGUAAUCCGGGGUGAGGACAGUGUCUGGUGGGUAGUUUGACUGGGGCGGUCUCCUCCCAAAGAGUAACGGAGGAGCACGAAGGUUAGCUAAUCACGGUCGGACAUCGUGAGGUUAGUGCAAAGGCAUAAGCUAGCUUGACUGCGAGAGUGACGGCUCGAGCAGGUACGAAAGUAGGUCUUAGUGAUCCGGUGGUUCUGAAUGGAAGGGCCAUCGCUCAACGGAUAAAAGGUACUCCGGGGAUAACAGGCUGAUACCGCCCAAGAGUUCAUAUCGACGGCGGUGUUUGGCACCUCGAUGUCGGCUCAUCACAUCCUGGGGCUGAAGUAGGUCCCAAGGGUAUGGCUGUUCGCCAUUUAAAGUGGUACGCGAGCUGGGUUUAGAACGUCGUGAGACAGUUCGGUCCCUAUCUGCCGUGGGCGUUGGAAGAUUGAGAGGGGCUGCUCCUAGUACGAGAGGACCGGAGUGGACGAAUCACUGGUGUUCGGGUUGUCAUGCCAAUGGCAUUGCCCGGUAGCUAAAUUCGGAAGAGAUAACCGCUGAAAGCAUCUAAGCGGGAAACUUGCCUCGAGAUGAGUCUUCCCUGGGGCUUUAAGCCCCCUGAAGGAACGUUAAAGACUAUGACGUUGAUAGGCUGGGUGUGUAAGUGCAGCGAUGCAUUGAGCUAACCAGUACUAAUGAUCCGUGAGGCUUAACCUUACAACACCGAAGGUGUUU